rnacentral:rRNA from 1 species
UAAGGAAUAUUGGUCAAUGGAGGCAACUCUGAACCAGCCAUGCCGCGUGCAGGAAGACGGCCCUCUGGGUUGUAAACUGCUUUUAUUCGGGAAUAAACCCAUCUACGUGUAGAUAGCUGAAUGUACCGAAGGAAUAAGGAUCGGCUAACUCCGUGCCAGCAGCCGCGGUAAUACGGAGGAUCCAAGCGUUAUCCGGAUUUAUUGGGUUUAAAGGGUGCGUAGGCGGCUUAUUAAGUCAGGGGUGAAAGACGGUGGCUCAACCAUCGCAGUGCCCUUGAUACUGAUGAGCUUGAAUGGACUAGAGGUAGGCGGAAUGUGACAAGUAGCGGUGAAAUGCAUAGAUAUGUCACAGAACACCGAUUGCGAAGGCAGCUUACUACCAAUGGAUUGACGCUGAUGGACGAAAGCGUGGGUAGCGAACA